AUGGCGAGGAAGGCAGCAGCGGCCAUGGACGGCAAGAGCUCCGAGCUCGCGAGGGCCGUGGCGGAGGCGGAGGCGAGGGAGGAACGGCUGAGGCGGGAGCUGGAGGCAGCGCUGGCGCGGGUGGCCGUGGCGGAGGAGGCCGAGGAGCGGCUGUGCGUGCAGCUCGGCGAGCUGGAGGCCGAGGCCAUGACGCAGGCCAUGGAGUACCAGCAGCACGUCAGGGCGCUCUCCGAGAGGCUCGCCCUCAUGGACGGCCUGCUCAGGUCCUCCGGCCUCCACAGCGGCGUCGUGCAAUCCGGCCUUCACUGA
rnacentral:rRNA from 1 species